rnacentral:lncRNA from 1 species
CAGCGAUCUGUCUUCACCACCCUCCAGGGGAUUCUGCGGUGGACUCAGGUUUGAGAACAGAGGAUGCAUAAUACCAUGCCCUGGGUAACCUGAUGUGCUAGGCUGUUAGAACAAGGAGAACUGAGCUCAGAAGUAUCCGUACAUUCUAAAACAUUGUUGACUCUCCCUUUGGCAGAGAGCACUGACCAGUUGGCCCACAAUGCGUGUGUGUGGCAAGGGGUGAAGGGUUAAGAGGAGAAAGUUCUAUUCCCGGCAAGAACAAGAUGUUUCCUCUACCAGAAUUGGCGGGAGACAGCCAGCGCCCAGCCAGAGGGACCAGUCAAGGAAGAAUCCAGCCCCUCCCUGCACCAGGGUCGGUAUACAGGCGGGAUGCGCAGUUUGCGUAGUGCUGGCGGAGAUGCUUAUCAUAAGCCAGAGGACAACCCCCUUCUACGUUCAUCUGGAAUCACGGAGGUCAGCUGCCUCACACCUCAGGCCAAGAGAGGGAGUGGUGACACUGUGGCACUGAGAGAAUGAGGACUGACUCUGAAGGGCUGGCUAAUCCCUCCUGGGAGCAGGGAAUGAGGACAGUGCUGAAAGCAAUUUUGAAUGCUUUUGUUUGUGACCACCAAUUCUUUGUCAUUUUCCCCCUACAAAGUAUGUUACAAAGUAACCUGUGAGAUGACUGCAGUGAAAUUACAGGUUACAGCGAAAACAUGGUCAGGGCAAGGAGCUUCCCAGUGGGAAUACUUUCUUUUUCAUUUUAUAAAAAAAUAAAAGCUUUGUACUAAGAAAUUAAACUAUUUUUAUGUUUUGUACCUCACUGGUAUAUUAAAUACCGUUUAUUAAGAUGCUUUUAAUUCAGGAAAUGUUGAAAUGAAACAUUGGCCCCCUAGCAAAUCGAAUUUCGAUGAUUAAUUCUGACGUAGUGGACAGGAAUCACGGGAAGACACGUGCUGUGACUCAGAUUACAAGAAGAGCAGCAGCCACCCGUAGCGGCAGGGAGGCCGAGAGGAGACGGACGUCAGCGGAGGAGGGAACGG